AGGCCAGGUUUACCAUUGUGAAUGGCUCAUAUUAGUUACUGUCAAAAAUUAAAAUAAAAACAUUUUAUGUAUUGAUUUUUAGAACUUAAAUCUUUUUUGUCGCGUUAAAGAAAUUAUAGCAACGCAAUUGGGACAGAGAACGUUGUAACGAUUACAACGCAACCGCUCCCAGUUGGUUUGAACAAUUAGUUUCUAAAGCAGGACCUGAUCGCAGAUUGGACCUUCCUUUCCUUGUGGCGGUCUUUUUCCCAGGAGAGACAUCCUUGGUGCCCUCCGUAUUGAAAACGCGCAGCACACAGUAUGAGGCAGCUCGGAUUGCAACAUAAACGACACAACCGAACACAGUCAGCCUCGAACAGCAACUGAUUCUGCAUUGUGGCGGGCAGUAAUAAUUUUAAUCAGGACGAAACACGUAGGUGGAGUUCGUGUUAGCGCUAGAUGUACUCGUGUUCAUCUGGUGGAUGCUGUCUCAUUGUAAUUCUGAAAUUUAAAACCAAUUAUAAUGAAUAUCUAUUUGAAAGCUGAAACGAAUCCAGUAGGUUGGGUAUCAGAUCAACAAUUAAUUCAGUAUCGUCGUUCUCCAUUUGAGUUUCCAUCCACACAAUAUGAAUCGUAUCAAGAAAAUGGAACUAAAUAUCUUAAAAUUUAAAACCGAUAUCAGACACUCUUCAAGACGAGCUAAACGCAUGCACAGGCGAGAUCUUUCUUAGUGGCAUACCGCCGCAAAUUCCUGCAGAAUCGGUUGCCGAAAUCGCUCGCUAAUAGGUGAGAUUAUAUACUGAGAUACAAAGUUACUUUCUCUGGGAACUCUCGAGGCUUUGCUUAUCUUCAAUACAUCAAUCACACACUCAUGCAGCUGGCUAUAAUUCGGUAAAAUUCU